rnacentral:ncRNA from 2 species
AGCCGCGGUAAUACGGAGGGUGCAAGCGUUAUCCGGAUUCACUGGGUUUAAAGGGUGCGUAGGUGGGCAGGUAAGUCAGUGGUGAAAUCUCCGGGCUUAACCCGGAAACUGCCGUUGAUACUAUCUGUCUUGAAUGUAGUGGAGGUGAGCGGAAUAUGUCAUGUAGCGGUGAAAUGCUUAGAUAUGACAUAGAACACCAAUUGCGAAGGCAGCUGGCUACACAAAUAUUGACACUGAGGCACGAA